rnacentral:rRNA from 1 species
GACGAACGCUCGCGGCGUGCCUAAUACAUGCAAGUCGAACGAACCGCGACUAGGUGCUUGCAAUUGGUCAAGGUGAGUGGCGAACGGGUGAGUAACACGUGGGUAACCUACCUCAUAGCGGGGGAUAACAGUCGGAAACGACUGCUAAUACCGCAUAGGACAUAGGAUCACAUGACUCUGUGAGGAAAAGUGGCGCCAGCUAUCGCUAAGAGAUGGACCCGCGGUGCAUUAGCUAGGUGGUAGGGUAAAGGCCUACCAAGGCGAUGAUGCAUAGCCGACCUGAGAUGGUGAGCGGGCACACUGGGACUGAGACACGGCCCAAACUCCUACGGGAGGCAGCAGCGGGGAGUCUUCCGCAAUGGACGCAAGGCUGACGGAGCAACGCCGCGUGAGUGAAGAAGGUCUUCGGAUCGUAAAGCUCUGUUGUUAGAGAAGAACAGCGAAUAGAGUAACUGUUAUGCGUGUGACGUUAUCUAAUCAGAAAGCCACGGCUAACUACGUG